UGGGGAAUAUUGCACAAUGGGCGCAAGCCCGAUGCAGCGACGCCGCGUGGGGGAUGACGGCCUUCGGGUUGUAAACUCCUUUCGCCAGGGACGAAGCGUUUUGUGACGGUACCUGGAGAAGAAGCACCGGCUAACUACGUGCCAGCAGCCGCGGUAAUACGUAGGGUGCAAGCGUUGUCCGGAAUUACUGGGCGUAAAGAGCUCGUAGGUGGUUUGUCACGUCGUCUGUGAAAUUCCACAGCUUAACUGUGGGCGUGCAGGCGAUACGGGCUGACUUGAGUACUGUAGGGGUAACUGGAAUUCCUGGUGUAGCGGUGAAAUGCGCAGAUAUCAGGAGGAACACCGAUGGCGAAGGCAGGUUACUGGGCAGUUACUGACGCUGAGGAGCGAAAGCAUGGGUAGCAAACAGGAUUAGAUACCCUGGUAGUCCAUGCCGUAAACGGUGGGCGCUAGGUGUAGGGGCCUUUUGGGGUUUCUGUGCCGUAGCUAACGCAUUAAGCGCCCCGCCUGGGGNUNNNNNGNCNGCAAGGCUA
rnacentral:rRNA from 1 species